GCAUAUCAAUAAGCGGAGGAAAAGAAACCAACAGGGAUUGCCCCAGUAGCGGCGAGUGAAGCGGCAAGAGCUCAGAUUUGAAAUCGUGUUUCGGCACGAGUUGUAGAGUGUAGGCGGGAGUCUCUGUGGAGCGCGGUGUCCAAGUCCCUUGGAACAGGGUGCCUGAGAGGGUGAGAGCCCCGUAGGGUGCUGCGCGAAGCUUUUGAGGCCCUGCUGACGAGUCGAGUUGUUUGGGAAUGCAGCUCCAAGCGGGUGGUAAAUUCCAUCUAAGGCUAAAUAUUGGCGAGAGACCGAUAGCGAACAAGUACUGUGAAGGAAAGAUGAAAAGCACUUUGAAAAGAGAGUGAAACAGCACGUGAAAUUGUUGAAAGGGAAGGGUAUUGGGCUCGACAUGGGGGGUGCGCACCGCUGUCUCUUGUAGGCGGCGCUCUGGGCGCCCUCUGGGCCAGCAUCGGUUCCUGCUGCGGGAGAAGGGGCUCCGGAAAGUGGCUCUUCGGAGUGUUAUAGCCGGGGCCAGAUGCCGCGUGUGGGGACCGAGGACUGCGGCUUCUGUCUCGGAUGCUGGCAUAACGGCGCAAUACCGCCCGUCUUGAAACACGGACC
rnacentral:rRNA from 1 species